rnacentral:lncRNA from 1 species
AGUGAAACUUCCAUCAGUGCGACACAGUUUGUAAACCACGAACAUUGGGAUUUCAUCAUCCAUAAGUUCAAAUAUACAUGUGUCACAUAUUUGAAGCUGUUUCUUCCUCACAUAAUCCGCACAACCAACGGUGAAACGUCGCACAUAACCAUUGGUUCUUAGAUUCGUUCGUACUGACCAAUUAUGAUGUGAACUAUCAUGGAUUUGAAAACUCUGGACAAAUUUUGGCAGAUACAAU